CUACGGGAGGCUCCAGUGGGGAAUAUUGCACAAUGGAGGAAACUCUGAUGCAGCAACGCCGCGUGGAGGAUGACACUUUUCGGAGCGUAAACUCCUUUUAUAUAGGAAGAAGAUGACGGUACUAUAUGAAUAAGCGCCGGCUAACUCCGUGCCAGCAGCCGCGGUAAUACGGAGGGCGCAAGCGUAACUCGGAAUCACUGGGCGUAAAGAGCGUGUAGGCGGAUUAAAAAGUCAGAAGUGAAAUCCUAUAGCUUAACUAUAGAACUGCUUCUGAAACUCUUAAUCUAGAAUAUGGGAGAGGUAGAUGGAAUUUCUGAUGUAGGGGUAAAAUACGUAGAGAUCAGAAGGAAUACCGAUUGCGAAGGCGAUCUACUAGAACAUUAUUGACGCUGAGACGCGAAAGCGUGAGGAGCAAACAGGAUUAGAUACCCACAUAGUC
rnacentral:rRNA from 1 species